AUUGACCUCGGAUCAGGUAGGGAUACCCGCUGAACUUAAGCAUAUCAAUAAGCGGGAGGAUU
rnacentral:rRNA from 1 species